rnacentral:rRNA from 1 species
UACGGGGGGGGGCAAGCGGUUGUUCGGAAUUACUGGGCGUAAAGGGCUCGUAGGCGGCCAACUAAGUCAGACGUGAAAUCCCUCGGCUUAACCGGGGAACUGCGUCUGAUACUGGAUGGCUUGAGUUCGGGAGAGGGAUGCGGAAUUCCAGGUGUAGCGGUGAAAUGCGUAGAUAUCUGGAGGAACACCGGUGGCGAAGGCGGCAUCCUGGACCGACACUGACGCUGAGGAGCGAAAGCCAGGGGAGCAAACGGG